AGCAGGGUGGCUCAGUGGCAAGAGCCCAGGCUCCAGAUGCAGAGGUCAUGGGUUCGAAUCCCGGCUCUGCCA
rnacentral:tRNA from 1 species